AUUGAACGCUGGCGGCAUGCCUUACACAUGCAAGUCGAACGGCAGCACGGGGCAACCUGGUGGCGAGUGGCGAACGGGUGAGUAAUGCAUCGGGACGUACCUUUCAGUGGGGGAUAACGUAGCGAAAGUUACGCUAAUACCGCAUAUUCUGUGAGCAGGAAAGCAGGGGAUCGCAGGACCUUGCGCUGAUUGAGCGGCCGAUGUCAGAUUAGCGAGUUGGUGAGGUAAAGGCUCACCAAGGCGACGAUCUGUAGCGGGUCUGAGAGGAUGAUCCGCCACACUGGAACUGAGACACGGUCCAGACUCCUACGGGAGGCAGCAGUGGGGAAUUUUGGACAAUGGGGGCAACCCUGAUCCAGCCAUGCCGCGUGAGUGAAGAAGGCCUUCGGGUUGUAAAGCUCUUUCGGCCGGGAAGAAAUCGCGCCAGUUAAUACCUGGUGUGGAUGACGGUACCGGAAUAAGAAGCACCGGCUAACUACGUGCCAGCAGCCGCGGUAACAC
rnacentral:rRNA from 1 species